AUUAAGUUACGAAAGGUAAUUGCAUUAAAAAAAAAACAAACACUAUAUAGAUGUCGACAUAUACAUAAGUUUUUGCAUGUGUAAAUAUAUUGCCAUACGAUUUUUAUUGACUUCUGUCUUGAAAGCCUUUUAAAUGUUAAUAUUGGGCUAAAUUCGAAUUCUGUAUCAAUUUUAUAAGCUUUUAAACAAAUAAACUUGUAAACGCAGAAGAUGACAAAAACUUCCCAUUUGUUGUAAAUAAGACAACAAAAAUAUAUCAGAUGGUGCUUUAAAUUUUCCAAAGUCAUGUAUAAAAAGCUCGGAUGGAUGCCUUUGCAAUAUACAUAUCUACAAAAAUAUCUAUUUGAGGUUAAUUCAAUGGGCUGAUAUAUAAUUGAAUCAAACUCAACUGGCAACAUCAUCAUCUAAUUCGCAAUUUGUCUUUUGCGAAAAUUUAAAAAUAUGGACAGAUAUUAGUUUGGCAAUUAUUAUAUUAAAUUACUAACUGGAGGGUUUCUGCAGUUACCACCUUUUGCACAAACGCACGCAAAUAUAUUUUCAAGCGGAUCCUGGUUAACUCGACUAGUUAAGAAGAAAAAAUGAUCCGAUCACCAAUAUUCGCUUUCAAAAAUGUCGCGUGCGACCGGGACUAAAAUUGAAUUUAAAUAAGAAAGGAAGCUAACUUCGGC